GCUUGCGGCGUGCUUAACACAUGCAAGUCGAACGGAAAGGCCCUGCUUUUGUGGGGUGCUCGAGUGGCGAACGGGCGAGUAACACGUGAGUAACCUGCCCUUGACUUUGGGAUAACUUCAGGAAACUGGGGCUAAUACCGGAUAGGAGCUCCUGCUGCAUGGUGGGGGUUGGAAAGUUUCGGCGGUUGGGGAUGGACUCGCGGCUUAUCAGCUUGUUGGUGGGGUAGUGGCUUACCAAGGCUUUGACGGGUAGCCGGCCUGAGAGGGUGACCGGCCACAUUGGGACUGAGAUACGGCCCAGACUCCUACGGGAGGCAGCAGUGGGGAAUAUUGCACAAUGGGCGGAAGCCUGAUGCAGCAACGCCGCGUGCGGGAUGACGGCCUUCGGGUUGUAAACCGCUUUCGCCUGUGACGAAGCGUGAGUGACGGUAAUGGGUAAAGAAGCACCGGCUAACUACGUGCCAGCAGCCGCGGUGAUACGUAGGGUGCGAGCGUUGUCCGGAUUUAUUGGGCGUAAAGGGCUCGUAGGUGGUUGAUCGCGUCGGAAGUGUAAUCUUGGGGCUUAACCCUGAGCGUGCUUUCGAUACGGGUUGACUUGAGGAAGGUAGGGGAGAAUGGAAUUCCUGGUGGAGCGGUGGAAUGCGCAGAUAUCAGGAGGAACACCAGUGGCGAAGGCGGUUCUCUGGGCCUUUCCUGACGCUGAGGAGCGAAAGCGUGGGGAGCGAACAGGCUUAGAUACCCUGGUAGUCCACGCUGUAAACGGUGGGUACUAGGUGUGGGGUCCAUUCCACGGGUUCCGUGCCGUAGCUAACGCUUUAAGUACCCCGCCUGGGGAGUACGGCCGCAAGGCUAAAACUCAAAGGAAUUGACGGGGCCCCGCACAAGCGGCGGAGCAUGCGGAUUAAUUCGAUGCAACGCGUAGAACCUUACCUGGGUUUGACAUGGAUCGGGAGUGCUCAGAGAUGGGUGUGCCUCUUUUGGGGUCGGUUCACAGGUGGUGCAUGGCUGUCGUCAGCUCGUGUCGUGAGAUGUUGGGUUAAGUCCCGCAACGAGCGCAACCCUUGUUCACUGUUGCCAGCACGUUAUGGUGGGGACUCAGUGGAGACCGCCGGGGUCAACUCGGAGGAAGGUGGGGAUGACGUCAAGUCAUCAUGCCCCUUAUGUCCAGGGCUUCACGCAUGCUACAAUGGCUGGUACAGAGAGUGGCGAGCCUGUGAGGGUGAGCGAAUCUCGGAAAGCCGGUCUCAGUUCGGAUUGGGGUCUGCAACUCGACCUCAUGAAGUCGGAGUCGCUAGUAAUCGCAGAUCAGCAACGCUGCGGUGAAUACGUUCCCGGGGCUUGUACACACCGCCCGUCAAGUCAUGAAAGUUGGUAACACCCGAAGCCGGUGGCCUAACCGUUGUGGGGGAGCCGUCGAAGGUGGGACUGGUGAUUAGGACU
rnacentral:rRNA from 1 species